UACGGAGGGCGCAAGCGGUGUUCGGAAUCACUGGGCGUAAGGCGCGUGUAGGCGGCCGGGCAAGUCGGAUGUGAAAUCCCGAGGCUCAACCUCGGAACUGCAUUCGAAACUGCUCGGCUCGAGUCCCGGAGAGGAUGGCGGAAUUCCCGGUGUAGGGGUGAAAUCCGUAGAUAUCGGGAGGAACACCAGUGGCGAAGGCGGCCAUCUGGACGGUGACUGACGCUGAGACGCGAAAGCGUGGGGAGCAAUCAGG
rnacentral:rRNA from 1 species